GAGGCCGGACUUGGGCGGGGGCGGAGGGGAGCAGCCCCCGCGAGCGCUCCCCGGCGUCCCCGACCCGGGCGGCGGCGGCCGGUCGAGGUGGCCUGGCCUGGCCCGCGGCCGUCGGCCUCCCCCAGUGUCCGCCCGCCGCGGCCGCCUGCAACGCUGGCUGGCGGGGAAACCCGCCGCCCGGGACAGGCCUCUUUGACGUUGAUUAGCCCAGGCGGUCAUGUUUAGAAACUGCGGGCCCAGGUGUCGGUCUGAGCCGAAGCGAUCCGUUUGUAGAAGGACCUUGAAGAGAAGAGGAAUUCUUGCUCCCUGGUGAAAGUGGACUUCGGCUGCCUCCAUUCUGACUUCAAACUUUCCAGUGGGUUCUUCUUUCCAGCUGGUCCCUUGGCUUAGGCGGAAGACCCUGAGGACAAAGCAUUCUCUGGUGGGAACCGAAACUCCCCCCUGGAGCAUAAGGACUGCCUGGGCCAGCGAGACCCCUGCGUGAUUGACUCCAAAACAGUGAUCCAUUUGACUUUUAGGGCCUGCAGGGACCCACCCUCCUUUGCCCCACAUUUUCCUUCUAUAAACCCAGAAGUAUUCCAGCUAGUGUCUUUGAGACACUAGCCCGCUGUCUUCCCAGCGUUGGCCUCACUGAAGUAAAUUCUUCUUUCGCCGCCACUCAUCUCUCUACCUUUGGAUUUUGUCAGCGGCCAGUGGCUGAACCUGUUGUGUUUGGGACCCCUGGAACCAGGUGCUCAUGCACUCCCUGUGACCCAGCUACGUUAUGGGUAAGAGGCUUCUCUGAGGAGAAGAGCAUUGGUGCAGAAGUUCACGAGAUUCCCCAGUGACUGUGGGCAGCCAAGGACCGGGGCUGACAGCGGACGCCCUGCGGAAAGAGCAUGCAGCUAGAAUGUGUUGCUACCAGACUUCUUCCUUCCUUCUGUGGCGGAACAUUGUAACCUCUGCAGCUGAGGGUUCCCUUCGCAAGUGAAAGGGGCCUUGAGGAAUGAGCGAGGGGCAGCAUUUGUCCCAAGAGAGCGGGCGGCGGCAAAUCAUGUUGGGACAACUGAAAGAAACCACGACGCUGACAACUUUGGAAGUGUUCCGGACUCCACAGGAGCAGUCAUGAGGAUCUGCUCGACCAGACGUGCUAGGGCCAAGGAAAGGGAAAAUAAACUCAAUUCCGCACAGCUAAGGUAUUUAACCGGGAGAUGGGCAUAGACACUGGGUAAUCAAGGGAGGGGCCGGCUUGGGGGAGUGAAGAGAGAGCUAAGGUGUGGGCCCUGAGGAGGGAGCAUGGUGAAGGGGGUGUAACUAAAACUACAGGGAAGACAAGGUCACCAGUUAUUACCUGGGGCUUCAAAGACCCAUCAAAGCUGAAAUUGUUAGAGGACUUGGUGGGACAGGUAGGUCGUCAGAGCCGGGGUCCCCAACAAGAAAAUAAGGAGUGAGGACAGCUAAAAUAAAACUGCACUGACGUCCUGUUCUGCACUUAGACAGGACCCCACCAGCACUCUGUUCUGCAGCCUUGGCAGAAAAGAUUUCUGCAAAACAUCCUUAAAUAAGACAACCACAAGGCUUGUGUCCCCACUGAUGUGGGAAACGAAGGCAGAAGGAAACACAGAUAAAAUUAAAUGUCCUUAUCACCUGCAGCCCAUUGACAAAUACUUGAGGCAGGCAGAGUAUCGUGUUCCUGCAGGAAGCUCCAGUCUUCAUGUUAAUGCUCUGCCAGAGGGAAAAGCAACCUUAGUUUGAUAAUAGCCAGGUCUCCAGUAUCCUGUGAAUCUUCUCUAGCAUAUGAAAAUCCUUUUGGAACUUUCCUUAUCUUUACUUCCCCCAACCCCAAAGAAUAGAAUCAAUUGCUACUCAUUAUCAUACGGUUUCACUUAUACGUGGAACAUAAGGAAUAGCAUGGAGGACAUUAGGAGAAGGAAGGGAAAAAUGAACGGGGGGAAUCGGAGGGGGAGACGAACCAUGAGAGACUAUGGACUCUGAGAAACAAACUGAGGGUUUUAGAGGGGAGGGGGGUAGGGGGAUGGGUUAGCCCGGUGAUGGGUAUUAAGGAGAGCAUGUACUGGGUGUUAUAUGAAAACAAUGAAUUGUGGAUCACUACAUCAAAAACGAAUGAUGUAUUGUAUGGUGACUAUCAUAACAUAGAAAAAAAAAGCCUAAAAAAAAAAAAUUCCCAGGGCAGCAGCUCCUUCUGCCCACAGGUCCUGUCACUGUGCUUUAAUAAAACCAUUUUGCACCAAA